rnacentral:rRNA from 1 species
UACGUAGGGUGCGAGCGUUAAUCGGAAUUACUGGGCGUAAAGCGUGCGCAGGCGGUUUUGUAAGCCCAGAUGUGAAAGCCCCGGGCUUAACCCUGGGAAUGGCAUUUGGGACUGCAAGGCUGGAGUUUGGCAGAGGAGACUGGAAUUCCUGGUGUAGCAGUGAAAUGCGUAGAUAUCAGGAGGAAUACCGAUGGCGAAGGCAGGUCUCUGGGCUAUAACUGACGCUCAUGCACGAAAGCGUGGGGAGCAAACAGG